UACGGAGGGGGCCAGCGUUGUUCGGAAUUAUUGGGCGUAAAGGGCGCGUAGGCGGCUAAGCAAGUCAAAGGUGAAAUCCCUCGGCUCAACCGAGGAACUGCCUCUGAAACUGCUUGGCUUGAGUCCCGGAGAGGGUAGUGGAAUUCCCAGUGUAGCGGUGAAAUGCGUAGAUACUGGGAGGAACACCGGUGGCGAAGGCGGCUACCUGGACGGGUACUGACGCUGAGGCGCGAAAGCGUGGGGAGCAAACAGGAUUAGAUACCCGCGUA
rnacentral:rRNA from 1 species